GAUGAACGCUGGCGGCGUGCCUAAUACAUGCAAGUCGAGCGAACAGACGAGGAGCUUGCUCCUCUGACGUUAGCGGCGGACGGGUGAGUAACACGUGGAUAACCUACCUAUAAGACUGGGAUAACUUCGGGAAACCGGAGCUAAUACCGGAUAAUAUAUUGAACCGCAUGGUUCAAUAGUGAAAGACGGUUUUGCUGUCACUUAUAGAUGGAUCGGCGCCGCAUUAGCUAGUUGGUAAGGUAACGGCUUACCAAGGCGACGAUGCGUAGCCGACCUGAGAGGGUGAUCGGCCACACUGGAACUGAGACACGGUCCAGACUCCUACGGGAGGCAGCAGUAGGGAAUCUUCCGCAAUGGGCGAAAGCCUGACGGAGCAACGCCGCGUGAGUGAUGAAGGUCUUCGGAUCGUAAAACUCUGUUAUUAGGGAAGAACAAAUGUGUAAGUAACUAUGCACGUCUUGACGGUACCUAAUCAGAAAGCCACGGCUAACUACGUG
rnacentral:rRNA from 1 species